GAUGAACGCUGGCGGCGUGCCUAAUACAUGCAAGUCGAGCGAACGGACGAGAAGCUUGCCUCUCUGCUGUUAGCGGCGGACGGGUGAGUAACACGUGGAUACCCUAUCUAUAAGACUGGGAUACCUUCGGGAAACCGGAGCUAAUAUCGGAUAAUAUUUUGAACCGCAUGGUUCAAAAGUGAAAGACGGUCUUGCUGUCACUUAUAGAUGGAUCCGCGCUGCAUUAGCUAGUUGGUAAGGUAACGGCUUACCAAGGCAACGAUGCAUAGCCGACCUGAGAGGGUGAUCGGCCACACUGGAACUGAGACACGGUCCAGACUCCUACGGGAGGCAGCAGUAGGGAAUCUUCGGCAAUGGGCGAAAGCCUGACGGAGCAACGCCGCGUGAGUGAUGAAGGUCUUCGGAUCGUAAAACUCUGUUAUUAGGGAGGAACAUAUGUGUAAGUAACUGUGCACAUCUUGACGGUACCUAAUCAGAAAGCCACGGCUAACUACGUG
rnacentral:rRNA from 1 species